UACGCAGGUGGCAAGCGUUGUCCGGAUUUACUGGGUGUAAAGGGCGUGUAGCCGGGCUUACAAGUCAGAUGUGAAAUCCGGGGGCUCAACCCCCGAACUGCAUUUGAAACUGUAGGUCUUGAGUAUCGGAGAGGCAGGCGGAAUUCCUAGUGUAGCGGUGAAAUGCGUAGAUAUUAGGAGGAACACCAGUGGCGAAGGCGGCCUGCUGGACGACAACUGACGGUGAGGCGCGAAAGCGUGGGGAGCAAACAGG
rnacentral:rRNA from 1 species